rnacentral:lncRNA from 1 species
CAGCAGAGGUAGCUGCGGCAGCUGAGCUGGGCACAGGGAGCCUCGCUCGGUCCUGCGGGUCCCAGCAGCAGCUUCCCACAGCAGCAGCCAGCUGUGCUCUAGGACAGGAAGCGCUCUCCAUUACAGACCCAGAAUUUAGCAGUUGCUGCAGCAAGGAGAGCUUGGAGGGCUCAGGACAAUAACACAGUGAAACUUAUGCAUACACAGUUAGAAGCUGGGAAGACAGAGUCCCACUGCUGCCAUGCUCUUAUGGUUUAGGUUAACAGGAUUGGUAUUCUUGUGAUUAUCCCUUGCAGGGCCAGGAACUGGACUUCAACGAUCCUCGUGGGACCCUUCCAGCUCAGGAUAUUCUGUGAUUUCAAUGUUCCUAAUGAGUAUUAACCCACUGUGAUUCAUUUCCGCUGAGACAGCUGCAACCCUUUAGCAAAUUUGGGAGGGAGGGGAAAAAGGGGAAGGUACUUUGCAUCUCAAUCAAGUGCCUUCUCCAUGCAAGGACAGCACAUCAUGCAGGAAAAUCUGCUUCCUCAAUCCCCAAACAUCAUUUCUUUGAGUUUUGUGUGGAUUAUCUGAUGGUGCGAGUUUUUGAAGCUUUACUGAAAAUAAAGGCCUCUUCAUCUGAAGAUGCAUAAUACUUGUCUUCACAGAUGCCUCAGCGUGGUGGGCAGUGCUGUGGAUCUGAAGAAAUGUGAGGACUCAUCUGGGAGCAGAAGCCAAAAUUUGCCCCAGGUAGCCAGGACAUGAGAGUGUGCUUCCAGUCUGGCCUGGUGGGAUCCCGAAUUCCCUUGUGUUUGGCAGCUUCAGUAGCAAGAUUGGAGAGGCCUCGCUCUCAGGUGAACCUUUAGCAAGGUGCCCCUAAGAGGCUGCUUUGGAUUACCUCAGGCUCAGUGUAGGGAACUGAGCCUGGGUCUUCUCCUUCCUGGGUGUGCAUUCUCAUCCCCAGGCUAUUAAAUAGAAGGGAUAGGUGAGAAGGUUGCUGGCUUCCUUUGGCUCUAUUUGAAAAGGAAGUAUCUGCCAUCAGUGCACUUCAUGGGGCGCCUAAUCUUGUUGUGUGUUCUGAAAACACCCUUCAGACAGAGCCCCUUAGGGGACAUGAGGUUCUGGAGCCUGCUCAGGCUGCAGUGCUGAGCUGUUUGGCCCUGCUGAGACUGAGGCAGUUCUGGGCAUGCAUAGAGGUGAGACAUCACCUAUCUGGAACGUCUGGAAAUCAAAAAAAGUAAGGUGCCUCUGUGUGUGAAAUUUCAGAAUCACAAUUUUUGUCACUAUUGGGUUUAGCUUGAUAAUAUAGUUCAAUAUUUUAAUUUUGAGUAAACCUUGACCUAAUAAAGUCAAUCUCCAUCUCUGUGAGAAGCA